rnacentral:snoRNA from 9 species
ACGGCCAUACUUGAACAGGAUCGAAUCGAUGCAUCCUUUAUCGAUAAGGAGGCAAACACUUCACUCUGGUUAAUGCAUUCUGACCUGCGAGAGCGCUUUUACCGGCCAAGAUUCCCCUGAUGGGGGCAAUCCGACGGCUGUAGAGGAUCCCUCAAAAAAAAAUCUUGUUUGUGGAAAAAAUAAUUCUCACUUUUCAUUCUGAUACAUA